UCAUGACAUCCAACCUACAAAUCAGGACCAUAACGCCAGGCAGUCUUUCCUGGGAGGCUGUGGGCAGCAAUGCAAACUAGGCCAAACAAAACAAAAUGCUGUGCCCAAGUUUUCGUGUCCAAGAGACCACCAAGGAGCCAACACCGAUGCAAUCACACAAGUGUUUAUUCGACAAAUUUAAGCUUGGGCCCAAGUAUACCCGACACAGCGGAGUAGGGACUUGGAUCCCGAGUCUAGUUAAGGCAGGGGUAUUUAUGUGUCAUUACAAGAGGCUUGGGGGGGUGGGGGAAGAGGGGAAAUUUCAGACUUUCCUGCAGUAAGCUGAUUAGCUGUUGCCGGGAUGCUGCAGGGUUGGGUAUAGCGAUUUUUCCUCCCCUGCUCACUGGGGCCUGAGAUGGCUGCUGAAGCUAAGAUGGCUGUACUCUUGCUAAGGUUAAACUUGAGGUGGGAUGUCCUUAAUUUUCUCGGCCUCCACA